AGCCUCAGAAAACACAUCUACAUUACAGGUUUUCAUAAGAAGGCCUUGUAGGGUCCACAAAACUACAGUGAGCAGCUGUUUGAGGAAAUUACUGAUGAAACUAUAUUUGUGUUUAUUAAAGAUUUACGUCUUCAGUAGGAGCCAAUGUGCUUAGAGCUGAGAGCCACAGACAGGAAGUCAGACAGGAAGUCAGACAGUAUUGACAGACGGACUAACCUGUUGUUGGUUUGCUUCAUGGGAUUUGUUGACAAUAAGAAAAAAAUACAAAAUAUCACCAGACUUCCGCUUUAAGUGUCACACAGGUUAUCAACAUUUACCAGCAUUCGCUGUGUUCGUCUGUAACAGAAGAGAGGUUAAAAAAAAAGAUCUGAAAUUCUGAAAAAAAAAGAUCUGAAAAAUGUCGG